rnacentral:rRNA from 1 species
GAUGAACGCUAGCUACAGGCUUAACACAUGCAAGUCGAGGGGAAACGAUAUUGGAAGCUUGCUUCUGAUAGGCGUCGACCGGCGCACGGGUGAGUAACGCGUAUCCAACCUGCCCAUCACUUGGGGAUAACCUUGUGAAAGUAAGACUAAUACCCAAUGACGUCUCUAGAAGACAUCUGAAAGAGAUUAAAGAUUUAUCGGUGAUGGAUGGGGAUGCGUCUGAUUAGCUUGUUGGCGGGGUAACGGCCCACCAAGGCGACGAUCAGUAGGGGUUCUGAGAGGAAGGUCCCCCACAUUGGAACUGAGACACGGUCCAAACUCCUACGGGAGGCAGCAGUGAGGAAUAUUGGUCAAUGGGCGAGAGCCUGAACCAGCCAAGUAGCGUGCAGGAUGACGGGCCCUAUGGGUUGUAAACUGCUUUAUAAGGGAAUAAAGUGAGUCUCGUGAGACUUUUUGCAUGUACCUUAUGAAUAAGGACCGGCUAAUUCCGUGCCAGCAG